rnacentral:rRNA from 1 species
UACGGGGGGGAGCAAGCGUUGUUCGGAUUUACUGGGCGUAAAGGGCGCGUAGGCGGCGUGACAAGUCACUUGUGAAAUCUCCGGGCUUAACUCGGAACGGUCAAGUGAUACUGUCGUGCUAGAGUACAGAGGGGGCAACUGGAAUUCUCGGUGUAGCGGUGAAAUGCGUAGAUAUCGAGAGGAACACCCGUGGCGAAGGCGGCUCACUGGGGCUGACCUUGACGCUGAGGCGCGAAGGCGUGGGGAGCGAACGGG